rnacentral:tRNA from 1 species
GCCGGAGUGGCGGAACGGCAGACGCGCUGCGUUCAGGGCGCAGUGGGCGCAAAGCCCGUGGGGGUUCAAAUCCCUCCUCCGGCACCA